CCGCCCGUCACACCAUGGGAGUCAGUUGCUCCAGAAGUGGCUGCGCCAACCCGCAAGGGAGGCAGGCCCCCAAGGAGUGGCUGGUGACUGGGGUG
rnacentral:rRNA from 1 species